UAGACACCUUAUCCAACAGACUCCCACUUGGAUAAGUCUAAUAACUAUAUUUGCGUAUGUUACUUCAGGAACCAACCAGCAAUCGUAGCUCUCGAAAACUCUGUUGAACUAUGAAGCGCCAUUUUAGAUAAGUGAUCAUAUAAUCCUCUGUUCUCAUGAUAUCAGCCGGACAAAUACAUGGAACAACGUCGUACUUAUUGUCCAGCAGUUUGUUUCCCGAUUUCCGAUUUGUUUGACAAAGAACUUAAUCGAACACAUCAAUUUAGUUCUGACCGGCCGGUACAUAGGUCACAACAAAAUCAUCGAGGGGCCCAGAUAUCGCUUCUAUUUCUAGAAGGAACAGAUAAACUUCGACUCAUAUGCUUGUUCUACUACUUGUUGAAUUGUACACAAAGGCACGUUUUAUAACAUCAAGUUACUGAUGCGUUUACGUGCAAUCAAUGCACAACCAACUCAUAGGUAACAACUCAUAUCUCUAGGUUUGAAGAUUUAUAUGAUAUUACCGUCUCACGAUCACUCGAGAUAAAUUCCAUGAAGUGAUACAAGUGAGCGUGGGUUUAUUCCAAUACUCAUAACUUAUGAGCACUCAUGAAUGUUGUAGCAACCAUUGCUAUGACUAAACCCAUUUAGCCAUCUACAAACUCGAUUCAUGACAGUCUUGAUUCAUACCUACUUCCAACAUAUGAACGACUGUGGAGUGUUUAAAUAACUUAGUCAUUCGGAAAGAAUAACCUAGCUAUUUUGGAAGUCAAAACAUGCAAAGUGAAACACAAUAAUAAUCGAAUCCAAUAUGGUCUCAGAACCCUUUUGAAUAUAAAUAGAACCACCUUUUAUUUAUCACCAUAUUGAUUACACAUUAUUCAUUGUAUAAUGUUUCAAACAAUCAACUUAAGACUUGAAUAAAAACAACAGUCGUCCCAUGCUCCUAGCAUGUACACUUUGUUUUUCUAAACAAUAGUUAUGCCAUACUCCAAGUAUGCACACUAUGUUUGUCUAUGAUCCUUACAUUGUGAUGUAGAUCAAUUGAACAUGAUUCCAAUGAUACUCAUUUCACAAUCCCAAAUCCUUAUUGUAAAUGUGAGAAUCCCCGAUUCCUAUCAUUUACCAAAAAAACUGUUAGAUUUUAAACUUUUAUGCAAUGUUCCUCUUGUAAUGAUUAUGCACAAAGUCACCAAAACCUUGUCACCAGUCAUUACAGAGUAUUCCAAAGAAGGUCAACUUCUAUGGAACGGAAGUCUCAUAUUCAAAGUACAUUGCUUUGAACAUCCUUCUUGCAUUAAGGUUUUCUAAUCUUACAUAGAUUGAAUAACUUCCACCUAUGGAGACAUUUCCAUAGUCCCAUUUUGACUAUCACUUCCGAACAAGAGUUACUUCUUUUCAGAAUAUGUCAAUAUGGUCCUUUCCGACAACUUACAUCAUACUUCCAACUUUCCCUGAGCAACCAAUCUUUGGCGAACCUCAGAUUGUCCUCGACAAUUGCUUAAUCACUUUAGUCAUAUCCAGUUCUAGACUUUUCCCUUCUCAAUGCCUUAAGCAUUUGGAAAAUUUAGAAAAGAUGAAUAUUAUAGCACAUGCAAUCGAUCCUAUAUCCGAAGCAUAUGGGACACGAUUCAUGAUGUUUGACAUAAAGACAUGAUACUAGACCAGUCUUUUGCUACAAUAUUUUUUAUUUGCCAUGUUUUCAAAAUUUAACUAUGAAGAGGGAUGCCGUAAUCAUAAUCGAAUUUUGAAAACGCAAUAUAUAUAGAAUUUCUUCAAGUUGAACCAUUCCAACAUAAAAUUCAUAUAUAUAUUCUUGACUAAAGAUGAUUAAAAUCUCAAUCUAAGCUUUAGAAUUGAAAUGAAGUAUAAUUUCCUCUCCCUUAAUUAUAGCAAAACAACUUUUCAACCCCUGCAACUUCACGAAUUGAAACUUUGUUUUCUAUAAUUAACAUUGCUAACUUGCAACACUAAACGUAAUAAUCAUGCUCCCACUAACAUGAUGAUUAUCAGCAUAACACUUAUGCUCCCACUAGCUCUGACAUAUUUCCAGAAAUCUGCUGGACUUCUGAAAUUUAGAUUCAUACACCCUUUCUUAGAUAGCUCACAUGUGUGUCUAAACAAUUUUCAGAACUAUGAAAAGGGAUGCCGUAAUCAUAGUCUCAAUUGCUUAGGCAUUUGCCAUUUCUCACAAGUCCAUGUUAGUGUGCCGGUUAACCACACGCGCUCCACUAACGACUUUUGAAAAUGCAAAUAACACAAUUGAUAUCUACGUAAAAUCUACUUAGUGAAAGCGUUUCCUCACCAUCAUUUUCAUGAAUCGGAGAGAAACCUUAUGACACUUAGAUUUUAUAGUGUAUGAGUUCCUAUCCAUGUGAAUUUGUCAAAACCAUAAUCACAAGAUAAGGUUAGUGACAAAUUCAGCCUUACAUGGAUUAAACUUGUUCAAUCUUAGUUUCUUGUCACCUUGGUAGCACAAGGCCCACCAAUGCUUCCAAGUUGAACUCUGAUAACUCACAUGCAAAUUCAACUUAUUUGAAGUAGGUACAGAAAUAAGAAUUAUGUCAACACGAUAGGUUGCAAACCUUAAGUCGUGUGCUAGUGAUAAAUUACAGGUUUUACUCUUGAUUAAAUCUUGAAACUCUUUCAGGAUCUUUAAGGCUCCCACUGUCCCCUUGACAUAUAAGUUUCCCCAGUCAAGAACCAUUCCUUGACAAAACAAAUAUUCAAGGGAUAGUGCGGAUUCUUAUCAAGACUAACACUUCACACAAUUGGUCUUAGUUGGUCUUUGUCUCAUCCAAGACAUCACAACUUACCAAUCUCAAAUGUACAAGAGUAGAAAACAUUUUACUCUUACAUUUGACUAGUGUUAAUAAAUCUUCCUUUAUGUCACUCAAAGUUACAAUCUUGGAGUAUGACUCUAAGAAUUGUUUUGGAACGAAGUAUGACUCAUCUUCUUGAUUUUAACCAAUCCAACAAUUCAUGACCUCUCUUCUUAGCCAUAACAAUGCACUAAGACGUCCUUAGAGUAUGAAUUUGUGAUAUGGUUUCAUAAUCAUUAAGAUGAUCAUGAAAUACGAUACUAAAGUACUCUCCCAUCCUUUCAGAUUUGAGAAACUUUUAUCUUUCUGCCUAAUUUGAUUCUUCUCAUUUGUUUUGUCAUACAUUGUAACCUUUCCAAUGUUACAGAAUUAUACUUAACCUCAUAAGUAUAAUCAUAUUUACUAAUCUUUAGUAAAUCAUGACAAAUCAAUCUUUGUGGUGGACCUUGACCAGCGCACACCCAGUGUACCUAAUUCCUUAGUCCUUCAAUUGACUCACAUAUACAUGUGAUCAAAGAAUUAGUCUUAAUUUUCAAAGAUGAAAAUUCUCAUUCAUCAUACAAUACAACUUGUAUGAUUCCAAGUUUCUGUCCAAUUGAAACUUGGGUGAUGAAAAACUUUCUUCAUUUGGUAAAUUCAGACACUACCACAAAUGAAAGAAUCAAAUCCACUUUCCAAUAUUGCUAUUACUGGAAACAUAUAAGCAACAAUUUUCCACAGAUGCCAUUGUAAGGAUAUUUUUAAAAUAAAUAAAAUUAAAACCCUUUUUUUUUUUUUUUUUAAAACUUUGCGGAAAAACUUAUCCUUACAAUCCACAUGAAAACCUUGUUGUUAUCUAUUCAUAAGCAAUAUAUUAUAACUCUUAAGCAACAGCUCAAAAUUCUGAUUACCGAACCAUGCGAUCGAAACCCACCUUCGCAAUCAGAAUCAACAUAUACUUACUUUAAGCUUCCUAUCUUUUCUUUGAUUCUUAAAAACAUCAGCAUGUGACCCAUUCACAUUAUGUAAUAAGAAUCUCCAAAUAGGAACUUAAUAGAGUUAGACAGUGGACUUUACCCGAAGUAGAGUCAAACCUCUUGACUUGAUCAACCUUAUGACCUUUCAGGUGAAUAGGGCAGCUUCGCAACCAAUGCCCCUUCCUUUGGCAACAAAACACAUGGACCCUUUGGUAAUGGCACAUGAGACUAUCUCAGACUUAGCCUUUCUCUUUACCAUUUGGUCAACCGAGUUGACUAUGGCCGAUCCCUUUCCAUUGGGAAGAGAAAUCCUUUUCUAGAUAUCCAAUGCUACCAUUGUCAAUGUCCAUUUAAGACUUGGGAAGUUGUUCUUUUAAUCAAAUUUGCUUUACUGGUGUUCCAAAUCAUUGCUGAUUCCACAACACCAAGCAAAUAGAUAACAUCAUUAAGGGUCAUGUCAUAGUCUGUCUCAUAGUAGUCCCAAAGAGACUCACUAUGUUACUAAGAAAGUGAUUGAACAUCCAACUUUCACGAGACUUUGACACCCAACUCUCCCGGCUUGUCAAUAUGUGACUUUAUCUCCAAGAUGUGAGCACACAUAGACUAUGCUUGCCAAUAGGGAUUGAGUGACUUUAAACUUUUCAAGAACUUGUGGGUGAGGGAGAAUAAUUGGAGGAGGUGGAGGAAGUGAAGCAUGAUGUUGAGGGACACCAUCUUCAAGAGAUUUGGGAAGAUCAUAGUUGUCUGAACCAGACAUCUAUAAUGGGAGAAAAUCAAGUUAGUUGAUUCAAAGUCCUUAAUAUAACACCCAAUAUGAAAUAUUAAGGCUAGGACCCAACACAAUAUUUUAUAAUUUGGAAGAGGGAUGCCGUAAUCCAAGCUAUAAAAUAUUUGAAGGUAGGCGAAUGACGAUUCACCAAUUUCCACCAUGAAAAACGAAAUAAUUUAUUAGGUUUUAAUUGGAUUUGAAAUUCCUAGAUCUUUUGAGAUUCAUUGAACUUUUCAAUGGCAUGUUUCAAUCUCGAGUGUGCCCUCUCAAAUUUUGUGACUGGGAUGCCGAGGAUCACAAAACAAGGUGUGAAUAACCAUACCAAUUCACUUGGUACCCUUAAUAUUAUCACCUAAUCAAUGUGCCGGUUAACCACACACGCUCCAUUGAUCUAUGACAAACAUUAAGUCACCCUUCGUGAUCCUUACUAGUCCAAGUUAGUGUGCCGGUUAACCACACACGCUCCACCAACGACUUGGUAAGGUACAAAGUGUGAAUUCCAUGGGCUAGCACCAAAUUCACAUUUUUCCUAAAGUAACUAAGAUUGGGAAUUAAAUAAAAAAUUUUUAGUUACUUUAUAAUAAUCAUUAUACUUUUAAUGAGAAUUUAAAGUCAUUGUCCUACCCGUUCGGCUAACGACCCUCCACCGAUCAAGCAAGCGGUGGGUGAGAGUGGACACCCAUUAAGUCGCCAUUUUAUAGGCAACAACCUUAUACCCACCUUAUAGACCGGCUUCGUGAAUGAGGCCUACUAACGGUAAAACGACUUGUUCUUAUACAUAUAUAUAAUAAUUAACCAUUAAUGUUAUAAAUAGUAUAAGUGUUGAAUUUUAACUUUUAAAACUCUAAGUGUUGGAAUUAAAGUUUAUUAAAGUGUGUGAAACUUUUCAAAUUCCAAAACUUGAGGGCAAGUUUUGUAACUAUCCAAAACUUUUCAUUUCAUAACUUAUGAAUUAAAGGUUCAUAAAAAUGAAGACUCUUCAUUUUCAUGUAACUUAUGUGUUUAAAUGUGUGUGUUAAAGAAAAGUGACCUUUGGAUAUCCAUAACUUGAGGACAAAUUAUGGACUCCAUUAAAACACAUAAAUGAUCAAGAAUUAAUUCUAAACAAUUCAGCAAAUAAUUCCUAUCAUCUUCUAAAUUCAUAAGAACAUGAACAUGAUCAUCAAAAUUUCAAGAAUUAUAUGAACACAUAAAAAUCAUGGAAUUUUGAUAUAUGCUAUUGUAAAUGGAUUAGAACAACCAUUACACCAACUAAAACAAGUUUUAAAACACCAAAACAGUUUAGGGUAAUGUUUCUAGUCCAUUUCCAGCAGCAAAAGUCGAAAUUCUGCAUUCUGAUCAUUCUACUCGCCGAGUGCACGAACCUACUCGCCGAGUAGGAUGAAUUUUGCCUUGAACUCGGCGAGUCCCCCCAUGGACUCGGCGAGUCCAUCAGCCAGACAGCAACAAUUUCAACUUUUUUCACUAUUUUGCAUCAAGUAUCAAACAAGCAAGCCUAGGCUCUGAUACCACUGUUGGGUUUUGAGCAAUCUAACACUUCCUAAGUGUGCAUGCAACCCUAAUAAACCUUGGAUCUAUGUUUGUCUAAAUACAUGCAAAAUAAUAAUUUUCCAAGGUUCAUAACCUAUCUAACAUGGCAUGGGGAACAUUUCAACAUAAAAGAGUUAGAAGAGAUUACAUACCUUUUUGAUGAGUUUGGUUCUUAAGGAGUUUGAGGGCCAAGCACCAAUAGUGUGAAUGCCUCAAAUGGAAUCACAAAACACCACAAACUCUUGGAAAACUUUGAGAGAGUAUACACACUUGUAUUUUUGGCCACACACAAGCACACACACACUAGUUCACUAGUUGCCAUUUCAUGCUCCAUAAGCAUGCUUAUAUAGUGUGCAUGGUUAGGGUGAAACCCUAAUAACCCAUGACCUUUCCUUUUCCAAGGAUCCAUGGGUUAAAAGCUCCAUGGAUCAUCCAUGGACUUCCAUAUAAGCCUAGCCCAUUAACAAAUGAGUGUUAGCCCACACCAUAUAAAACCAAUAGCCCAUAAUCUAAUUAGUCUUCCUUUUAAUCUCUAAAUUAAUUCAUAAUUAAUUUAAGACUAAGACUAAUUAAAUAACAUAACUUCAUAUUAAUAUAUUAUAACUUAUAAUAUAUUAAUAAACAUAUGUGUAUAACUCUCAUAAAAUUAUCCAUAAAUAGUUCGGGUGAGAUGCAACCCAAAUGGACCAUGCCGGGUCGGGUCAAGUAUAUACCAAAUAAGUUAUGGACUUAGACACCUUAUCCAACAGACUCCCACUUGGAUAAGUCUAAUAACUAUAUUUGCGUAUGUUACUUCAGGAACCAACCAGCAAUCGUAGCUCUCGAAAACUUCGUUGAACUAUGAAGCGCCAUUUUAAGUAAGUGAUCAUAUAAUCCUCUGUUCUCAUGAUAUCAGCCGGACAAAUACAUGGAACAACGUCGUACUUAUUGUCCAGCAGUUUGUUUCCCGAUUUUCCAUUUGUUUGACAAAGAACUUAAUCGAACACAUCAAUUUAGUUCUGACCGGCCGGUACAUAGAUCACAACAAAAUCAUCGAGGGGCCCAGAUAUCGCUUCUAUUUCUAGAAGGAACAGAUAAACUUCGACUCAUAUGCUUGUUCUACUACUUGUUGAAUUGUACACAAAGGCACGUUUUAUAACAUCAAGUUACUGAUGCGUUUACGUGCAAUCAAUGCACAACCAACUCAUAGGUAACAACUCAUAUCUCUAGGUUUGAAGAUUUAUAUGAUAUUACCGUCUCACGAUCACUCGAGAUAAAUUCCAUGAAGUGAUACAAGUGAGCGUGGGUUUAAUCCAAUACUCAUAACUUAUGAGCACUCAUGAAUGUUGUAGCAACCAUUGCUAUGACUAAACCCAUUUAGCCAUCUACAAACUCGAUUCAUGACAGUCUUGAUUCAUACCUACUUCCAACAUAUGAACGACUGUGGAGUGUUUAAAUAACUUAGUCAUUCGGAAAGAAUAA
rnacentral:lncRNA from 1 species